GACGAACGCUGGCGGCGUGCUUAACACAUGCAAGUCGAACGGUAAGGCCCUUCGGGGUACACGAGUGGCGAACGGGUGAGUAACACGUGGGUGAUCUGCCCUGCACUUCGGGAUAAGCCUGGGAAACUGGGUCUAAUACCGGAUAGGACCUCGGGAUGCAUGUCCUGUGGUGGAAAGCUUUUGCGGUGUGGGAUGGGCCCGCGGCCUAUCAGCUUGUUGGUGGGGUGAUGGCCUACCAAGGCGACGACGGGUAGCCGGCCUGAGGGGGUGACCGGCCACACUGGGACUGAGAUACGGCCCAGACUCCUACGGGAGGCAGCAGUGGGGAAUAUUGCACAAUGGGCGCAAGCCUGAUGCAGCGACGCCGCGUGAGGGAUGACGGCCUUCGGGUUGUAAACCUCUUUCAGCACCGACGAAGCGCAAGUGACGGUAGGUGCAGAAGAAGGACCGGCCAACUACGUGCCAGCCGCCGCCGUAA
rnacentral:rRNA from 1 species